AGAAGCCAAAAGUUGAACCUGGGACCUUCUGCAUACAAAGCAGGUGCUCUGACACUGAGGAAUAGCCCCCCUCCCCCUGAAAAUGUCUCAAAGGGCAGAUGAAAUCACUAGACCAAAAAACUUUCAGAGCAGCCUUUUGGAUGGAGCAAGCUCACUGUGUUUGAUGGGACUUAUUCCAAAGAGCAUAAGGUUGCAGCCAAAUAUUCCUUAGGAAAGAGAAGUGAAACAAUCCUGCCAUAUGAGGGGUGCAGUCCCAUGCAUGCUUUGUGUGUAUGUGUGUAUUUCAUGGAAACAGGCAAAGAAAUGAACUGGAAACAUAAAUAGAAUUCUGAAAUUUAUUUAAAGCAUAGAUAAAACUCAGAGACCAAUAGGCACAGCAGAUGUCACACAAGAAAAUAAUCUACAAAAUGCAGUAGAAAGAUAACAAAUGCUGUUGUUAUUCUUAGUGUUACUACAGGGGGAAAAAACAACCCCAAACCAAACCACCUAUAAGUUCCACAAAGCAACAGAGUGAGAUGACAGCAUUAUACUAUUCAUUUUCUUAUUAAUAUGCAUUACAAAAUCAAACCAUUCUAAUCCAAUAUUAUUCCUCAACCAUGCUUAACAUAUACAGUUUCAAAAACCUGUUCUACUAAACAUUCUAAAUAGUAAUUAUUGUUAUCAGCAGUUUACCAGCAACAUCAAGGCUAGUUCUUUAUUUUCUCUGGCUGUUGAUGUUACUUAUACUGCCACAUGCAGACAAGCAGGUAGGCUUGCAAUUUUUGUGGGGUUAUUUGUGAGACUUUAUCAAUACAUAUACUGGUUUGUGCCCAAAGCACCUAAGAAAAACCCUUCAGGCGUUUCCCCUGAGGGAAUCAUGCUUGGGGAAUCAUGGCCAAUAUUAGUUUUCUCAUAAUACAUUGGGCACAAACGACUUACAAGUUCAAAAAACAUGAUUUGUACAAUAGCAAAUGGUGUUAUACAAGGCUUCAUUGAGAAAUACAAACUUUAUUUGUUUUAAAAGUAAAGUUAAAGUGUUCAGUUUUUAUAAGCAAUAGAAACCACUACCUGCUGUGAGCCUUGCUGCAAUGUAUCUCUUAACAUUCUAUUGCAGUGGUUUUCAACUAGUAGUGUGCCUGGCACCCUGGGGUGCCUUGAAUGAUGGUGAGGGGUGCUUCAGGCAACACUGGCCUCUGUCCCUCUUUCCUUCCCUCCCUCUUCUGAUGCCCUCUCAGGUCUCUGCCUCCCAAAGGCUUACACAGCUAUUUGUUGUAGCAGCCCCGGCUACAAGCCCCACAGGUGACACAAAACAGAAACCACAAUGCAUUUCCAAACAAAACGGCACCCAAUAUACCAUUUGGCAGCAGCAGUAAUGAAUGCAAAGCGACCCUUGUUUUUGAAUAUGAAAGCUGACUCUUGAAGAAGACAGACUUGUUCCCUACAGGUACAAGGUGCUAAUAGCAAUGGAUGGGUGAGCUUACACACACACACACACACACACACACACACACACACACACUGUGUCAUCAUCCCCAUCAUCAUUCAUUUCUGUGCUGACUUUCCAUAGGAAGUCCCCCUCAUCAACGCAUCUCACAAUAGCGCAACAUUUAGACAAUUCAGUUACAAAGCACCACAACCUUUAAGUAAUAGAAAUUCAGCUCCCUAACACGUGCAGCCCAGCUCCACUUUCCUCAUAGACUUCUCUUCGGCCACUGUGAGAACAGGAUACUGGACUAGAUGAGCCAUUGGCCUCAUCCAGCAGCUUCUUCUUAUGUUCCUACCCAGAUGCACAGAUAAUAGAUAGAUGAUAGAUGAUAGAUAGAUAGAUAGAUGAUAGGUAGAUAGAUAGAUAGAUGAUAGAUAGAUAGAUAGAUAGAUAGAUAGAUAGAUAGAUAGAUAGAUAGAU
rnacentral:lncRNA from 1 species